rnacentral:lncRNA from 1 species
ACUCUUCUACACCUCUCCUCCUCACACUCGACAUCCAAAUCGCCUGCACGUAAAGACCACAGCACCUCUUUCUCACACACAAACAUCGUCAACAUCAUCAUCGUCAUCAUCGAAUACCCAGAAAAGCUCAUGGAUUUCUCCAAUUUUUCAACGACAAGGUACCAAGAUCGGCAACGAAAGGAAAGGAAAAAAAGAAGAAGCCACGCGCUCAACUGACCUCGGAUCUGAUUCAAAUUCUCAAGAACCUAAAAAACCCAGAUGGCUCUCUCGCGAAUUCUCUCCUCUUCUCUCCCUCCCUCGCUCGCUCGCCAGGAACAGCAGUCCCACGUAAUCCGCACCUUUCAACU